UCCAUAAAGCCUUUUUUCAACUUUUGACCUCGGAUCAGGUAGGGAUACCC
rnacentral:rRNA from 1 species